AACGCGAGAUGGGUAUAAAUACCUCGCAUCGCUAGGAAACCCAAACCCUAGCCGUCAACCCCGACCGGAGAAGAAGGUCGACCGCCGACCGCCACCGCACCUGGAGACCCCCCCACAUGAAAAAUUCAGAAAACUCGGGACCUGUUAGGAGGCGUAGUAGACAACGCAGCGUCUCGAAACACCGAUCCGGAUAAGGAUCUCUUACCCUAUUUUUCGUUACGAUAAAUU
rnacentral:lncRNA from 1 species